CUACGGGGCGCUGCAGUGGGGAAUAUUGCACAAUGGGCGCAAGCCUGAUGCAGCCAUGCCGCGUGUAUGAAGAAGGCCUUCGGGUUGUGAAGUACUUUCAGCGGGGAGGAAGGGAGUAAAGUUAAUACCUUUGCUCAUUGACGUUACCCGCAGGAGAAGCACCGGCUAACUCCGUGCCAGCAGCCGCGGUAAUACGGAGGGUGCAAGCGUUAAUCGGAAUUACUGGGCGUAAAGCGCACGCAGGCGGUUUGUUAAGUCAGAUGUGAAAUCCCCGGGCUCAACCUGGGAACUGCAUCUGAUACUGGCAAGCUUGAGUCUCGUAGAGGGGGGUAGAAUUCCAGGUGUAGCGGUGAAAUGCGUAGAGACCUGGAGGAAUACCGGUGGCGAAGGCGGCCCCCUGGACGAAGACUGACGCUCAGGUGCGAAAGCGUGGGGAGCAAACAGGAUUAGAUACCCGCGUAGUC
rnacentral:rRNA from 1 species